rnacentral:rRNA from 1 species
GUUUGAUCCUGGCUCAGAACGAACGCUGGCGGCAGGCUUAACACAUGCAAGUCGAGCGCCCCGCAAGGGGAGCGGCAGACGGGUGAGUAACGCGUGGGAAUCUACCCUUUUYUACGGAAUAACGCAGGGAAACUUGUGCUAAUACCGUAUAAGCCCUUCGGGGGAAAGAUUUAUCGGGAAAGGAUGAGCCCGCGUUGGAUUAGCUAGUUGGUGGGGUAAAGGCCUACCAAGGCGACGAUCCAUAGCUGGUCUGAGAGGAUGAUCAGCCACAUUGGGACUGAGACACGGCCCAAACUCCUACGGGAGGCAGCAGUGGGGAAUAUUGGACAAUGGGCGCAAGCCUGAUCCAGCCAUGCCGCGUGAGUGAUGAAGGCCCUAGGGUUGUA